GAUGAACGCUAGCUACAGGCUUAACACAUGCAAGUCGAGGGGCAUCAGGAAGAAAGCUUGCUUUCUUUGCUGGCGACCGGCGCACGGGUGAGUAACACGUAUCCAACCUGCCCUUUACUCGGGGAUAGCCUUUCGAAAGAAAGAUUAAUACCCGAUGGCAUAAUGAUUCCGCAUGGUUUCAUUAUUAAAGGAUUCCGGUAAAGGAUGGGGAUGCGUUCCAUUAGGUUGUUGGUGAGGUAACGGCUCACCAAGCCUUCGAUGGAUAGGGGUUCUGAGAGGAAGGUCCCCCACAUUGGAACUGAGACACGGUCCAAACUCCUACGGGAGGCAGCAGUGAGGAAUAUUGGUCAAUGGGCGCUAGCCUGAACCAGCCAAGUAGCGUGAAGGAUGAAGGCUCUAUGGGUCGUAAACUUCUUUUAUAUAAGAAUAAAGUGCAGUAUGUAUACUGUUUUGUAUGUAUUAUAUGAAUAAGGAUCGGCUAACUCCGUGCCAGCAGCCGCGGUAAUACGGAGGAUCCGAGCGUUAUCCGGAUUUAUUGGGUUUAAAGGGAGCGUAGGUGGACUGGUAAGUCAGUUGUGAAAGUUUGCGGCUCAACCGUAAAAUUGCAGUUGAUACUGUCAGUCUUGAGUACAGUAGAGGUGGGCGGAAUUCGUGGUGUAGCGGUGAAAUGCUUAGAUAUCACGAAGAACUCCGAUUGCGAAGGCAGCUCACUGGACUGCAACUGACACUGAUGCUCGAAAGUGUGGGUAUCAAACAGGAUUAGAUACCCUGGUAGUCCACACAGUAAACGAUGAAUACUCGCUGUUUGCGAUAUACAGUAAGCGGCCAAGCGAAAGCAUUAAGUAUUCCACCUGGGGAGUACGCCGGCAACGGUGAAACUCAAAGGAAUUGACGGGGGCCCGCACCAGCGGAGGAACAUGUGGUUUAAUUCGAUGAUACGCGAGGAACCUUACCCGGGCUUAAAUUGCAGUGGAAUGAUGUGGAAACAUGUCAGUGAGCAAUCACCGCUGUGAAGGUGCUGCAUGGUUGUCGUCAGCUCGUGCCGUGAGGUGUCGGCUUAAGUGCCAUAACGAGCGCAACCCUUAUCUUUAGUUACUAACAGGUUAUGCUGAGGACUCUAGAGAGACUGCCGUCGUAAGAUGUGAGGAAGGUGGGGAUGACGUCAAAUCAGCACGGCCCUUACGUCCGGGGCUACACACGUGUUACAAUGGGGGGUACAGAAGGCAGCUAGCGGGUGACCGUAUGCUAAUCCCAAAAGCCUCUCUCAGUUCGGAUCGAAGUCUGCAACCCGACUUCGUGAAGCUGGAUUCGCUAGUAAUCGCGCAUCAGCCACGGCGCGGUGAAUACGUUCCCGGGCCUUGUACACACCGCCCGUCAAGCCAUGGGAGCCGGGGGUACCUGAAGUACGUAACCGCAAGGAUCGUCCUAGGGUAAAACUGGUGACUGGGGCU
rnacentral:rRNA from 1 species